CGAAUGAGCCACACAUGUCUCAAGGGAUGGUCAACUUUGAUUACAAGGUCAAUUGCUUUAACCUUCCUAGAUCAUUUUCCCCGAUUUUUGACAUAUAUUGUAUUAGUGUGACCUAAUGGGAGUUUUAUAUACUAACCACAAGAAUCGCCCUCUCAAGAUUUUCAUGGGAAACAAAAUCCAAACUUCACACUUCACUCAACACUCCCAUAACCUCAAAUCUUCCUGUUAAUCUGCAGCUUUUUGAAUUUGGUAUGCUUCUUCCACUUUAGCUACAUGUUUUCCAGCAAUCCUCACAUGCUAUUGCUAAUAAUUUAAUUUACUUAUACUGCACAAUAUUCUACAAGAUAUUAUCAAUCUUUUGAGAAAUUGAUUAUUGAUUUUUUUUUGUAAUAUAGUUUCUGCAUUAUUGAAGCUAUGUUAACUUCUUUUACAUUUUUUUCUAUAUUACUUUUGCUAUCAGACAUUGGGACGUUUGGCUCAAAACAGAGAGGCCGCAAGAAAAAGCUGGCUAAGGAAAAAUGUGGUUUGACGUUGACCAAAGGCAUGAAGGUUGUGUUACUUGGAAAUGUAGUGUGCAUAAACUUGAUUUGGGAAGCUAAAUGGCUAUGGAGCUUUCCUCUAGAGAGGACUUAAUUAUAGCACUGGGUUUUUUCAGACUUUAGCUAAAUGUUUUAUUGAUGAACAGAUCUUUGGAAAUGUUUGUGGAUGUGAAUCUAGCAGAAGAGGGGAUUUUGAGGUUGCUCUUUGCUGUAGUUUUUCUCAUUGUUAACAAAAAUGGAAAUGAUAGCAAAACUUCUGCUGCUUCAGGAUUACUUUGGACCUGCUUCUGCUGCAAUUCAGGUUAAUAUACAACAAAGAACCAACUAACUAACUAGUUCAUAUUUUCGUUAGAUAUUUGUUCGUUAGAUGUGACAAUGAACCAGCUCCAUGGACAAGUGAUGAACAUGGAGACCGUCCACGCCCACUUCCAGUGGUUAAAGAGUUGAAGGGGGCAAUUGAUGUAACUAAAAGGAAGAAAGCUGCAGCAUGGGAUUAUGAUCUAAGUGGUGUUGUACAAAAAGGAAAAGGAAUGCCGGAUGUGGAAGAGACCCCCCACCACCAAGCAAGAAAAUGGAUGCUAUAAGGUAUGAAUAUGGGAUAUCAGAAAAGAUAAAAAUUGUACAAAAGUCAAGAUCAAGCCAGUGAGAGAUAGGCUUAUGAAAGGUAAUGCCUCUCUUGUCCAACAUGUGAACUUAGUUAGUUGUGCUGAGACUGAUUGAUUUAAAUUGGUGGAAACUCGCUUAAGCUUUGAAUCAAAGCAAGAUAAAUUAUCAAGUGGUGAUAAUAGAAAACUCCAAAUGAUUGGUGAGAAGAUGGAUGCUCUGUUCCAAGGGCUGAUCGAUGAGCAUAGAAGCAAGAAGGAAAGUUCAAACACCAUGAUAGAUCACUUGCUCUCCUUUCAAGAAUCUCAACCAGAGUAUUACACCGAUCAAAUUAUCAAAGGGCUUAUCAUGGCCAUGAUGGUGGCUGGAACAGAGACUUCGGCUAUAACAAUAAAUGGGCAUUGUCGAAUCUGUUAAACCAUCCACAAGUGUUGGAGAAAGCAAGGAUGGAGUUGGACAAGUAAAGGGAUAUAGCACAAUUUUACCUAGAUGCUUCCUGAGUAAUAAACAGUGCCUAAACAUUUCAAAUAAAGUUGAAGAAUAAGAGAAUGCUAACCUCAGAGAUUGCAUGAUACUCUUUUGUUCAUUUAUAUAUCUCAGAUGUUCUUUUAUAUCUAUUUCUAGGGUCUUCAUGGAUAAGAAUUCCCUGUUAGACAACAACUCCUCAACCUAGCGCUUCACUGCUCCAAAAGUCUGCUUAAAUUGUGAAACCUUAUUCUCAAACUGCUUGUGAGAACUGGUGCAAUUCUCCACCGACUUCCACAAAUUUUCUUCCUUCACCAAAUCCAAUAGAGUCAAGGGAAGAGAACUAAACUUGGAGAAGAGAUAUGACAUUAUCAUUGGGACAGUUGAAGGAUUGGUUUACCUGCAUGAAAAUUCAAAAACUAGGAUAAUUCAAAGAGAUAUAAAAGCCAGCAACAUCUUAUUGGAUGCUAAACUUCACGCCAAAAUUAUAUGUGUUGAUGAUUUGCUGCAUUAGCUCCAACAAUGCGAACCUGGUUGCGACUCAACAAAAGACUGACUGCAAUUUCCUCAGCUAGCUUGAAAACCAAAGGGAAGAAUUUGUAUAUUGCAAUGCUGAUGUGGAGUUUAACUUGAAGUGGCCACACACAACCACAAGGAGAUCGAGGAGGUGUAUUUGUCAAUGGCUCUGAGCAAGUCACCAUCAUGCAAUCUAAAAGGAAUAGGAUCAAUAUAAAAUCUUGUUUAUUUAGAUUGUUGAAAAUGAAGGAACUAGUAGUGUCAAUGAGUAAUGUAAAUAGUUAUAGUUUUGUCACUGAUUUAUUUUUUGGGUUUCUUUUUAUUGAGAUAGUGAGAUAUUGGCCAAUGAUAUUGAAAAAUAACAUCCAAUUUUAUAGGUAUCAUGUAAUGAGUAUUAUGUUUAUCU